AUUGAACGCUGGCGGCAUGCCUUACACAUGCAAGUCGAACGGUAACAGGUCUUCGGAUGCUGACGAGUGGCGAACGGGUGAGUAAUACAUCGGAACGUGCCCGAUCGUGGGGGAUAACGGAGCGAAAGCUUUGCUAAUACCGCAUACGAUCUACGGAUGAAAGCAGGGGACCGCAAGGCCUUGCGCGGACGGAGCGGCCGAUGGCAGAUUAGGUAGUUGGUGGGAUAAAAGCUUACCAAGCCGACGAUCUGUAGCUGGUCUGAGAGGACGACCAGCCACACUGGGACUGAGACACGGCCCAGACUCCUACGGGAGGCAGCAGUGGGGAAUUUUGGACAAUGGGCGAAAGCCUGAUCCAGCCAUGCCGCGUGCAGGAUGAAGGCCUUCGGGUUGUAAACUGCUUUUGUACGGAACGAAAAGCCUCUUUCUAAUAAAGAGAGGUCAUGACGGUACCGUAAGAAUAAGCACCGGCUAACUUCGUGCCAGCCGCCGCCGUAAGAC
rnacentral:rRNA from 1 species